rnacentral:rRNA from 1 species
UUUUAUAAUAAGCAUUGUGAGGUAUAUUGUAUGGUUAGGAGAGAGAUGAAAUGUGAUAACCCUAACUGGAUGAACAGAAGCGAAAGCUAUAUACUUAAAUGUAUUAUUAGAACAAGGACGUAAGCUAGAGGAUCGAAGAUGAUUAGAUACCAUUGUAGUUCUAGCAGUAAACUAUGUUAAAUCAUAGAUACAUAUUAUAUGUAUUUAUGUAGAGAAAUUAAGAUUAUAUUGACUCUGGGGAUAGUAUGAUCGCAAGAUUGAAAAUUAAAGAAAU